CCUACGGGAGGCAGCAGUGGGGAAUAUUGGGCAAUGGGCGCAAGCCUGACCCAGCCACGCCGCGUGAAGGAAGACGGCUUUCUGGUUUUAAACUUCUUUUCUCCGGGACGAAACAAGUGACGGUACCUGACGAAUAAGCCACGGCUAACUACGUGCCAGCAGGCGCGGUAAUACGUAGGUCGCAAUCGUUAGCCGGAUGUACUGGGUGUCAAGGGGGUGUAGGGGGGACUGCAAGGCAGGUGGAAAAACCACGGGGGUAAACUGUGGCCUGCAGUUGAAACUGUAGGUCUUGAGUACUGGAGAGGCAGACGGAAUUCGUGGUGUAGCGGUGAAAUGCGUAGAUAUUAGGAGGAACACCAGUGGCGAAGGCGGUCUGCUGGACAGCAACUGACGCUGAGGCGCGAAAGCGUGGGGAGCAAACAGGAUUAGAUACCCCUGUAGUC
rnacentral:rRNA from 1 species